UGGGGAAUAUUGCACAAUGGGCGCAAGCCUGAUGCAGCCAUGCCGCGUGUAUGAAGAAGGCCUUCGGGUUGUAAAGUACUUUCAGCGAGGAGGAAGGCGUUGUGGUUAAUAACCGCAACGAUUGACGUUACUCGCAGAAGAAGCACCGGCUAACUCCGCGCCAGCAGCCGCGGUAAUACGGAGGGGGCAAGCGUUAAUCGGAAUUACUGGGCGUAAAGCGCACGCAGGCGGUCUGUCAAGUCGGAUGUGAAAUCCCCGGGCUCAACCUGGGAACUGCAUCCGAAACUGGCAGGCUAGAGUCUUGUAGAGGGGGGUAGAAUUCCAGGUGUAGCGGUGAAAUGCGUAGAGAUCUGGAGGAAUACCGGUGGCGAAGGCGGCCCCCUGGACAAAGACUGACGCUCAGGUGCGAAAGCGUGGGGAGCAAACA
rnacentral:rRNA from 1 species